rnacentral:misc_RNA from 1 species
GCAAACUUGGUCAUUUAGAGGAAGUAAAAGUCGUAACAAGGUUUCCGUAGGUGAACCUGCGGAAGGAUCAUUAAAGUAUCUUCCACGGGGGUGGGGUGGCCCUGCUCCGGCUCUGGCCGUGCAGCGGGUCCCCUGCUCCCGGACCACUACAAACCCACCGUGCACCUUUCGCGGCGCGAGGGUGUGGGCGUGAGCCCCGCCCGAGCCCGCGGUCUCACAGACACUAGUUUGAGAAUGUCCAGCGGACCUCGUUCCGCCCACAAAUGUAACAACUUUCAACAACGGAUCUCUUGGCUCUCGCAUCGAUGAAGAACGCAGC